UUGUCAUGAAAAACUGUCUUAUAAACUAUCGUGUAUCGGUUCACAAAAUAUGUACCCUCUAUGAAUCCUCCAUGAAUAUAAUUCUUAUGCAUAUUGUUCACUAUACAUAUAAAAAGUCUUAACAGUUUUAAAAUUGGCUUUACCACUUUGUAUUGUUUGGUUUCAUCAGCUCUUAAAUGUUUGCAUAAGGAUUAAGAGUAUUAACCUUUUUUGCGGCUAGAUGCCCAUCUAGUACAGUUGAUUCGGUACCGCUUUGGACGCACACAAUAUAAUACAAGUGUUGUUCCAAUUGAACAUUCAGCAUUAUUUGUGUUCUGUGUAUGAUAAAUCAAUAAUACCGACCGUUAGAAAACCAUUUCUUGGCUGUACUGGUAAUAUUAUCGAUCCCGGUUAUCGAUUUUUAUUUAAAUUGAUAAAAGUAAUAAAAAAAGAGCUAUACUCAAUAUUGCAUGAAGACUAGUUUAUUACUUUGUUUACGACCCCAAUCGUAUGUGUCAUAAUUAGUAGGGUGUCCAAUCAACAAAUUUGAUUAAUUCGUCUUAACGGAAUAACACACGGCUAUAUUUUGGUUUUAUAUCAUUGGAAAGAAGAGAACACGCCUCAUCGAAAUUCCGUUGUCGUCGUUGUCUGCCAUGGUCACGUUUUUUGACAUUUUUUAAAAAGCAGGGCUGGUUUUUUUGGGUUUUUUUUUUUUUGGCAUAUCUGUCCCCACUAUAUAGAUUAUUUAUAUGUUUCCCACGAUUUGAAAAUUGAGUAAAUGUUUUUUUUUUUAAUGUUUUGAAAAUACUAUGGACUGCUUAAUUUUUCAUUCGAUUGCUAAUAAUGAUUAAUAAGGUACAAACAGAAAAAUAAAAUCUUAUACAUCGUCAUCUUCGUCGACAUCAAUGCCAUCUAAAUGCAACCAGACGAGUAUUUACAUUUUGGCAUAUAUCAUUUAUCUGACAUGGGGAUAAAUCUGUACGUGAUAGAUUUUGUUCGAAGCAAAUGCAACCAUAAGAAAACACAAAUUUCCCCUGACAAAAAAAAGACUAAAUCUUGCAGGAAUUCAUACGACAUCAGACCUUCGAGAUAGACAGGAACAAGUCAUUCUUCUUUUCCCAUCUGAACUGUAGAGGAGAAUGUUAGGGUAGAUUUUCUAUAUGGAAAGACAUCAAUUGUUUGUCUGGAGUGAAGCUCUUAAUAUUACAUGUUGUUUAAAAGUAGAUUCUUAAGGAGGAAGUUUGACAAGGGAAAAAUUCUAUAUUGUAGCCAAUUUUACGCUCAAUUUGUUUAGGUCACUAUGAUCUAUAUUGAGUUUUGACUUGACAUCAUUUAACCUAACAUUAAGUUCUCGAGCUGCAUCUAUAGAUUC
rnacentral:lncRNA from 1 species